rnacentral:lncRNA from 1 species
AGCAUGGCGUAAAGCAGACGUCUUGUUUCCCAGUCCAAUUUUAGUCAGGUAUGAAACUGCAGUCAACACAGGUUUUUAGAGGUCUGCAAGUACAGAGUUUUAAAUUGUGAAAUAAAACCUCUAACCAGUUAGCAGAGUGUGUGUGUGUUAUGCUGUGCUGAGAUAUUGCUGUGACAUAUGGUGCAUUAAGGUCCAUAACCUGGUAUUAUAUGUGUUGACAACUGUACAAGACAUCCUAUUGAAGACAGUUAUGAGUGAGCAACAGCCCAAGACACCUUGUUAAUGCUGCCCUGUUACCUACUGAGUUUCUACAUACAAGUCAAGUAUCCAUCAAAGAUUGGCCAUGGUGUUUACAGAACUGAAAGCCAAGCUGUGGUUUUUGAAAAUUUAUUAUAAAGUUCUAAAUGGAAAUACAAUUUGAAAAGCA